rnacentral:rRNA from 1 species
UACGUAGGGACCAAGCGUUGUUCGGAUUUACUGGGCGUAAAGGGCGCGUAGGCGGCAAUUCAAGUCAUCUGUGAAAUCUCCGGGCUUAACUCGGAACGGUCAGAUGAUACUGCUUUGCUCGAGUGCGGAAGGGGCAAUCGGAAUUCUUGGUGUAGCGGUGAAAUGCGUAGAGAUGUGGAGGAACACCGAUGGCGAAGGCAGCCCCCUGGGUCAAGAUUGACGCUCAUGCACGAAAGCGUGGGGAGCAAACAGG